rnacentral:rRNA from 1 species
AUUGAACGCUGGCGGCAUGCUUUACACAUGCAAGUCGAACGUCAGCGCGGUCUUCUUCCUUUCGGCGAGUUUCGAACUGUUGUGUAAUACAUCUGAACGUCCCCCUUUUUUUUGGAUAGCUCGUCGUAAUCCGGAUUAAUACCGCCUACGACCUUAUGUUGAUGUCUUUUGUUCUUCGGUCCUCUCUCUUUUUUAUCUGCCGAUGGCUUAUUAGCUAGUUGGUGUGGUAAAGGCCUACCAAGGCGACGAUCUGUAGCUGGUCUGAGAUGACGACCAGCCACACGGGGAAUGAGACACGGACAAGACUCCUAUGGGAGGCAGCAGUGGGGAAUUUUGGACAAUGGGCGAAAGCAUGAUACAGCAAUGCCGAGUGUGUGAUGAAGGCCUUCGGGUUGUAAAGCACUUUUGGCGGGAACGAAAAGGACUGUGACAAUACAACGGUUCGAUGACGGUACCCGAAGAAUAAGCACCGGCUAACUACGUG